rnacentral:rRNA from 1 species
AAAGUUCCCUUCGGGGAAUAAGUAAAGUGGCGCACGGGUGAGUAACACGUAGGUAAUCUACCUUCGGGUGGGGAAUAACCCAGGGAAACUUGGGCUAACACCGCAUGAUGCAGCGGCACCACAUGGUGACAGUUGUUAAAGCGGGGGAUUUUCGGACCUCGCGCCUGAAGAGGAGCCUGCGGCGGAUUAGCUAGUUGGUGAGGUAACGGCUCACCAAGGUAACGAUCCGUAGCCGGCCUGAGAGGGCGGUCGGCCACACUGACACUGACAUACGGGUCAGACUCCUACGGGAGGCAGCAGUCGGGAAUUUUGGGCAAUGGGCGAAAGCCUGACCCAGCAACGCCGCGUGAAGGAUGAAAUCCCUCGGGAUGUAAACUUCGCAAGAAUGGGAAGAAUUAGUAUGGGUUAAUACCCCCUAUGAUGACGGUACCAUUUGUAAGCUCCGGCUAACUCCGUGCCAGCAGCCGCGGUAAUACGGGGGGAGCAAGCGUUGUUCGGAUUUACUGGGCGUAAAGGGCGCGUAGGCGGUCAGCACAAGUCAGUUGUGAAAUCUCCGGGCUUAACUCGGAAAGGUCAACUGAUACUGUGCGACUAGAGUGCGGAAGGGGCAACUGGAAUUCUCGGUGUAGCGGUGAAAUGCGUAGAUAUCGAGAGGAACACCUGCGGCGAANGCGGGUUGCUGGGCCGACACUGACGCUGAUGCGCGAAAGCCAGGGGAGCGAACGGGAUUAGAUACCCCGGUAGUCCUGGCCUUAAACGAUGGAUGCUUGGUGUCUGGGGUUUUAUAGUCCCCGGGUGCCGCAGCUAACGCGUUAAGCAUCCCGCCUGGGGAGUACGGUCGCAAGACUGAAACUC